GUGAACGCUGGCGGUAGGCCUAACACAUGCAAGUCGCACGGCAGCACAGUAAGAGCUUGCUCUUACGGGUGGCGAGUGGCGGACGGGUGAGGAAUACAUCGGAAUCUACUUUUUCGUGGGGGAUAACGUAGGGAAACUUACGCUAAUACCGCAUACGACCUACGGGUGAAAGCAGGGGAUCUUCGGACCUUGCGCGAUUGAAUGAGCCGAUGUCGGAUUAGCUAGUUGGCGGGGUAAAGGCCCACCAAGGCGACGAUCCGUAGCUGGUCUGAGAGGAUGAUCAGCCACACUGGAACUGAGACACGGUCCAGACUCCUACGGGAGGCAGCAGUGGGGAAUAUUGGACAAUGGGCGCAAGCCUGAUCCAGCCAUACCGCGUGGGUGAAGAAGGCCUUCGGGUUGUAAAGCCCUUUUGUUGGGAAAGAAAAGCAGCAGGUUAAUACCCCACUGUUCUGACGGUACCCAAAGAAUAAGCACCGGCUAACUUCGUG
rnacentral:rRNA from 1 species